UACGAAGGGGGCUAGCGUUGCUCGGAAUCACUGGGCGUAAAGCGCACGUAGGCGGAUUGCUAAGUCAGGGGUGAAAUCCUGGAGCUCAACUCCAGAACUGCCUUUGAUACUGGCGAUCUUGAGUCCGGGAGAGGUGAGUGGAACUCCGAGUGUAGAGGUGAAAUUCGUAGAUAUUCGGAGGAACACCAGAAGCGAAGGCGGCUCACUGGCCCGAUACUGACGCUGAGGCGCGAAAGCGUGGGGAGCAAACAGG
rnacentral:rRNA from 1 species